rnacentral:lncRNA from 1 species
GACUUGAUCACCCAAAGACAGGACAGAUACUUUUUGUUUCACAGUAAAUGUUUGCUUCUCAAAUGAUUUCUGAACCCCUAAUACAACAGCAAGAUGAAGAAAAAGGAAUGUUCUGCUCAUGUUUAUGGCAUAAAGCAGCCACAACUGGUCAGACAUGCUGACCAGGAAACUCAAAUUUGUCCUGAGGAACACAAAGAGGACACUGACAAAAGCAACCUUUAAAGAACUGGGGAGCCUGAAGGAGACUGAAAUGAGUCUUGAAGAGGAAGAAAUCUAAGAAGAACACAGCAAAGAACUAGUAAGACCAGGAUGAACAGUGUGAAGUCAACCCCAGUAGGGAAGUCCAAACCCUCCAUUUAAUUCCCUCCCAGCCAAAAGCAGUAUAAUUGCUGAAGCCUCUUAGCUCUUGCAGG